CGUUGGUGUUUUUAAAGUACCACUAUCCAACACCUGUUCGAAUUAUAAUCCUGAUUUUGAUUAUUCUUAUUCCACUUCCAAUCUAUCAAUCAUCUCAUUAUAUUUGGAAGAAGAACCCUUGAUUCCUUUUCACCUUCAUUUCUCUUCCAAAUCACCGUCGUUAAUUUGUUGUACUUAAUUUGGUGGCUAUAUUACAGACAUCAAUCGAGGAAGCUACAAAACAUGAUAGAGACAGAUCUGGUCUUUUAUUUUUACUAGAAAAGAUGCACGUUGAACUGGAGUAUUGUCUUCAGAUUAGCUAUGCAGCUGCAAUAAUAACAAGAAUCUUACAUCCACAUGUCUUUCAUUUUAGGCUCCUUCAUUUUAUGAUCUAUUAGAGGGUUUAGGGCGAAUAUGAAAUGCUGCAACUUUGCUUAGACAUAAUUGUGUGCUAUCAGGUAUUAGCUAAUAGUUAUUUCCCCCAAAAAAAAUUGUUUGUAUCUGAAUUUUCUGAACACAGUUGCAAUUCAUUUAACUCUUAUAAUCAUACAGUCAGUGAUGUCACCCUACAGCUGAGUUCUCUUCCAAAUGGAAUGAGGACUUCCUGGAUUAGUCAAGAAUGAUUGUUUCUACACAACCAUUUGUGCGUUCUCAAACAUAUGGAGACAGUGCCCAUAUACAUGUAGCUCUGCAUUUUCUUUUUGGACAAGGUCCAUCUUCUUAUGGAGUUCUACAUUUUCUUGAUGAACAAGAGAUCCCUACAAUGGCAUUAAUGGAAAUUGGUCAGAAUUUGUGGGAAAGCUUAGUCUAAUACAGCUAGAAAACCAGACUCCCAAUACCUUUUGGUGUAGUUCUUUGAUCUCAUUAGUCAAAAUAUGAUCCUACAGGGAAAUAAAUGACAGUGUAAUAGUCAUUAAUGUGCCGUAACAAAUACGUAAUGUUGAAUGGAUGAGAUUUGAAUGGAUCCUGCAUACCUUUUUCAUUCGAACACCCUUUAGACUAAUCUCCAGCUGGUUUUCCAGAUUUUGCAGUUCUUUAAUACCCAAACCAGCAAGUCCUUCACCCAUCAAUUGCCUGCUUUUACCGAAAAGAAAAUACAAAAAUACAUUUUCAUCUGAAAUGGAUGGCAAAACUUCCCUUUUUCUUUCCUUUUUAUGCCCCCUCACCCCAAAAUAAUGUACUACUCUUUUAGCAAAAAAGGGUCAUUAUUAACAUGUUAGGUUCAAUACUCCUAUUACAAUUAUGCAACUGUUAGGUGCUUAUUAUUUAUAUAUUUAUUUAUUUUACCUAUGGCUUUCUUGCAAGUACUGCAGUUGUUGUCUCAGGCUUGCUGCUUCUGUCUGCCAAAACUAGGAAGUAGAAAUACAAAUAUGAAAUAUGUUUAACAGUUAUUACUAAAGAAAAUGAUUUAAAAUGCAAUAGCUGUAAUGUAAAGAAUUCAAAGAACAACAUUAUGGACAAGAACCAACAAGAAGAGGAUUUUAACACAUCAUUGCUAAUAUGGUGAUUCGCCCAGAUCAUUUUGCUACUUUUAGUUUUAUUAUUCUGCUGGGGUAUUGUUUUACACUUCUGGAUUAGUUGAUUGGCAAUGAUUCCAUUUCCAUCAACAGGGCAAAGAGUUUUGAGGAGUUGUUAGAGAGACACAGAAGUGGGAGCAUGUAUGAUAGAUACUAUUUAUUGGUUGGCCUCACCUGUUUCAAAUGGCACCAUGGGAUAACUGUUUAUGUCGAAUCUACAUGUCUGCAUUCUGGUGUAUUCUAUAUGCAUUUUGUAUCUUUUCUAUGAAUGGUUUUAUAUCAUCUGUAGCACGCAUGAGCUCUUUUAAUUUGAAGCAUAGAGAAUCCAUGUGGUUUAAUUUGAAAUUUGAUUUGAUUUGGAUCUUCAUUUUUUUGGCUGAAUGGGAUCUUCAUGUUUUUAAAUAUAUAAGGGGACUUUGUUAGAGAUAUAAGUAAGGUGUCUUCUGUUAAACCAUGUAUUAUUUCUAACUUCUUUUUUUAUGGAAUAUAUGCUUUCUAACUACUUUUCAUUAAUUUGAGUAUAACAACCUACAUAAUUUUUUAACUUAACCUACAAACUAUCUUAUAACAUGAUAUUAUCUAAAAACCUAGUGCAGAAUAUCUACAAUGAAGCAUUUUAAAAUGGUUAUCUA